rnacentral:rRNA from 1 species
GACAGAGGGUGCAAACGUUGUUCGGAAUCACUGGGCUUAAAGGGCGCGUAGGCGGGCUGCCAAGUUUGGGGUGAAAUCCUCCGGCUCAACCGGAGCAGUGCCUCGAAUACUGGCGGUCUCGAGGGAGGUAGGGGCGUGCGGAACUGUGGGUGGAGCGGUGAAAUGCGUUGAUAUCCACAGGAACUCCGGUGGCGAAGGCGGCACGCUGGACCUUUUCUGACGCUGAGGCGCGAAAGCCAGGGGAGCGAACGGG